AGCUGUUUAGGAAGAUGGUGAUUUUAGCUCUAUGGGGAUUGACUGACUCUCAUGCAUGUAUCCCCUAACUCUGAGAUUUAAUUUGAUCGAUUUGGUCUUUGUUUUUGCUAUUCAAUCUAUUUUGCUGUUGAUUUUUAUGAAUUGAUUUUUUCAAAAUAAUAAAUUUUUUCAUUCCAGUCUUCCCACUGGGCACACACUGGUUGAAUCAACAUUGUGUCCACAUCAUUUCAAUGAAAUUACAUUGAACCAACAUGGAAAGAAGUUGAAUUCACGUCUGUGCCUAGUAGGUUUAUCUUUGAGAUGUCAUUUAUGCUUUAUGUUUAGAUUAAACAAUAUGGAUAUGGGCACAUAAAGUGAACAAGAAGCAGGAGCAGCAACACCACCAGUCAUCAUCUUCAUCAUCAUCACUACCAUAAUUUGUAUCAUUAACAUCCCAUCUUUCAUCAUCAUCACCAUACCUCAAACAUUUCUGCCACAGAUAGAGCUCAUCGCUUAUGAUAAACAAUAAUGUUUUCUCUCUCAAUUAGAUAAGAAUAGCUUCUACCAUGUUUUGUCAUCUUCAGUCGCAUGAGGGAUAUCACGUGGUUUAUUCUACCAUCUCACUAGCUGCGAGCCUGGCUAUUGAUUCCGGUUUAACGGAAUGAUUAUUGGUUAUUUCCAACAACAUUCCGUGGAAGAAAACUAGCGGUGUGGGAUAGGCGUCUGGUGAUGGAGCAGCGGCUGGUGGCUACGUGCUGGUUGUGUCUCCUGCUCUUUGCCUUGCUGUGUGAGCCUGUCCUGUCCAAGGGCGGCCGCGGGGGGGGCAGGGGUUCAUCUCGGGGCUCGUCUCGUAGCAGUGGCCGUUUCCGAAUCAGAACCCAUUCAACAAAGGCCUGGUUCAAGACCAUGCCUGGGCGCUCAUCCCCAGUGCGUGUUGCUAGCGCGGCGGCUGCUGGUGCAGCAGUUGCAUUAACAGCUGAUAGGUUGUACCGCUCAGCCUACCGGUGCAGUCAUGUCAACUCGGAUUAUGAUGGGGAGGAUUACAACAGGACCGUUUGCUACAUGACCAGAGUGUCAGGAUCCAAUCUGAACCAACCGUCACUCUCAUACAUCUCUGUCAUCAUCGUCGCUUCUGUAUUCCCCAGAUAUGUUCACGUAUUAGAGAAUAUACUUUAGAUGCGUAUAUUUGUUAGAUAAUAACAUUUAUGACUUAUAAAGGCAAAAUAAUCAGCAUACAUGUAUAGGAGCCUUGUGGCUCAUUCUACAGGUCUGUUAUCAUGCCUUGGGAAGGCAAAGCUUGUUUAGCCUCUAGGUCAGAAGUCAGGAUGGCCAGAAAAUGGUGGAAACUAAAAUGUAUAAGUUUAAAGGAGUGUUGACAAGUCAGCAUCACAUUAUUUGUUUGGAAAAAAUCUUUCACUUAAAGUAGCUGUCCAGUGUUCAAGAUUUGUAUGAAAUAUUACUGAAUAAUGAAUUACAAUAUGAGUGAAAUUAGUAAUAAAGUAUGUUAAAAAGCA